AUAAUGAAUGAAAAAGGAAUGGCUGAACCGAAGCAGCGGCGGUCUCUGAACCGGUUCGGCGGUAGCCCGGCAGCCACCUCAAGUGGUAGCGGUGACCUAAACAACAUG